rnacentral:rRNA from 1 species
AUAUCAAUAAGCGGAGGAAAAGAAACCAACAGGGAUUCCCCUAGUAACGGCGAGUGAAGAGGGAAAAGCUCAACUUUGGAAUCUCACGGGUUCCCCGUGCGAAUUGUAGUUUCGAGAAGUGUUUUCGGGAACGAGCUGGGCAAAAGUCUGCUGGAAUGCAGCGUCGUAGAGGGUGAGAACCCCGUGCUUUGGCCCGGACUUUGUUCCUGUGUGAUACGCUUUCAAAGAGUCGGAUAGUUUGGGAAUGCUGUCCUAAAUGGGUGGUAAAUACCAUCUAAAGCUAAAUACAGGCGAGAGACCGAUAGCGCACAAGUA